rnacentral:rRNA from 1 species
ACGCUCGACACCUACGGGAGGCAGUAGUGGGGAAUAUUGCACAAUGGGGGAAACCCUGAUGCAGCGACGCCGCGUGAAGGAAGAAGUAUUUCGGUAUGUAAACUUCUAUCAGCAGGGAAGAAAAUGACGGUACCUGACUAAGAAGCCCCGGCUAACUACGUGUCAGCAGCCGCGGUAAUCUGAGCGGGCUGGCAAGGC